GUGGCAUUUAAGGCUAUGGAUCCUUGGAGCCUCACUCCAUUUUCCCAGAUUUCUGUAAUUUGCCCUGACCCACAGAGUGUUCAGCACUUCUGAACUUUGCCAGGGUGAGAUUUCCCUCUCAUAAUCCCACAGGGAUGAGUCCCUAAACCUGAUGUGCCCUUUUCUUUUUCCCUUUGCAGGGCUUCAGUUCUGGGCCAUCAUCCUCAUCUGCCUUUUCACCCUGCUGGGCUUCGUCCUCCUCGUCUUGUUGUGCUUCCUGGGGCUCUCCUGCCUGAGGAGAAAGUCCCACCUGUACCAGGUGCAGCAGGGCCUGUACAAGCUGCACUUCCCCAGCCUGAGCACAGGGAAGGUUCACUGACACCUCAGCUUGGUCUUCCCAGACCUGUUCGUCCACUGAUGAAGGAAAAAUAGCUCUAAAAACUAGAAAAAUACUCCUUUUAAUAAAUUAUUUCAGCAUUUUCUCUCUCCCUGAGAUAAAUCUUUGCAGUAUUGCCAUGAUUCUUCUCAUACUCCAGGAAACUGCCAACAGUGCAAGUGCUGAGGAAAAUAUUUUUCUAAAGCACAGCAGUGUUUCAUAGAAAUAGAAUUUUUAUAUAAAUAUUACACAACCAGAGGAAAAUAAAAACUACCAGGAGGUGCAGUUUGCAAGGCCCUUCAGUGUUAAUGUCAGUUUUCUGAAAAAGGCUUGAAAUUAUACUAAUUUAGAGAUUUUUGGGGACUGACUGUUGUAGACUUAGAAAUCCCACCUAGAUUUUAGCUUUUUUACCACUGAGCUUUAAAAAUUUAAGUACCUUAAAUUAAUUCAACUAUUUCAUCUAUUUAUAAUUACAAUAUUGUGAUGUAAAGAGACAUUGUUGAAUCUGAGUGGAACACAGCCAGGCUGUGUUUUUUUGAGAUUGCUGCUGAUUUCAGUUCAAUAAAUGCCACGUUUUACUUCCAUGAAGUUGUGUUUCCUCUGUCUCAGCAUUUUUGUCGUCCCAAAUGAGAAACUCUGCAGAAAUCCUGGAGGUUUUGCUCAUCA
rnacentral:lncRNA from 1 species